UACGUAGGGGGCUAGCGUUGUCCGGAAUCAUUGGGCGUAAAGAGCGCGUAGGCGGCCAGAUAAGUCCGGUGUGAAAGUCAAAGGCUCAACCUUUGAAUGCCGCUGGAAACUGUCUGGCUAGAGUCCGGGAGGGGCGAGUGGAAUUCCUGGUGUAGCGGUGAAAUGCGCAGAUAUCAGGAGGAACACCAAUGGCGAAGGCAGCUCGCUGGGACGUUACUGACGCUGAGACGCGAAAGCAUGGGGAGCGAACAGG
rnacentral:rRNA from 1 species